rnacentral:pre_miRNA from 1 species
UGAGGUGAGCACGUACCUCCCUAGUAAUAGACAGUGUGCUAGUGAGAUACUGCUCAUCUCAGA